rnacentral:rRNA from 1 species
UGUUGGGUUAAGUCCCGCAACGAGCGCAACCCCCUUUCUUAGUUGCUAACAGGUUAUGCUGAGAACUCUAAGGAUACUGCCUCCGUAAGGAGGAGGAAGGUGGGGACGACGUCAAGUCAUCAUGGCCCUUACGCCUAGGGCUACACACGUGCUACAAUGGGGUGCACAAAGAGAAGCAAUACUGUGAAGUGGAGCCAAUCUUCAAAACACCUCUCAGUUCGGAUUGUAGGCUGCAACUCGCCUGCAUGAAGCUGGAAUCGCUAGUAAUCGCAAAUCAGCCAUGUUGCGGUGAAUACGUUCCCGGGUCUUGUACUCACCGCCCGUCACACCAUGGGAGUUGUGUUUGCCUUAAGUCAGGAUGCUAAAUUGGCUACUGCCCACGGCACACACAGCGACUGGGGUGAAGUCGUAACAAGGUAACCGUAGGUGAACCUGCGGCUGGAUCACCUCCUU